rnacentral:rRNA from 1 species
AUUGAACGCUGGCGGCAGGCCUAACACAUGCAAGUCGAACGGUAACAGGAAGAAGCUUGCUUCUUUGCUGACGAGUGGCGGACGGGUGAGUAAUGUCUGGGAAACUGCCUGAUGGAGGGGGAUAACUACUGGAAACGGUAGCUAAUACCGCAUAACGUCGCAAGACCAAAGAGGGGGACCUUCGGGCCUCUUGCCAUCGGAUGUGCCCAGAUGGGAUUAGCUAGUAGGUGGGGUAACGGCUCACCUAGGCGACGAUCCCUAGCUGGUCUGAGAGGAUGACCAGCCACACUGGAACUGAGACACGGUCCAGACUCCUACGGGAGGCAGCAGUGGGGAAUAUUGCACAAUGGGCGCAAGCCUGAUGCAGCCAUGCCGCGUGUAUGAAGAAGGCCUCGGUUGUUAAGUAACGUUUACUAGUACGGGAGGAGGGAAGGAAGUAAGUACUUA